rnacentral:lncRNA from 1 species
GCAUCCUCAGGGACAGCCCGAAAGUGAAUCCAGAAUAAACCCUAUUGGCAUAAUUCUUAGGGACCCUGUAUAAGAAGGUAAAAGUAUGCAGCUGCUCCCAAAAUCUGUCUGAGCUGGGUUAGUGCUCAAACCUCUGAAGUUUGGAAAAGAGGAAAGGAAAGGGUAAAAUUUUACCCUGGAAAGAGAAGUGAUGCUCACCAGUGAGACUUGUUGGCAAUUCAUGGAUCCUUGAGAAUGGGUGCAAAUGAAAGGGAGAAAGAGAGAGAGAGGGACAGGCAGAGAUAGAGAUUGAUGGAUUGGGAGAGGUUGAGAGACUUCAGGUGUAAAGAAGGAGACUCCUUUUCUCUGGAUCUCUUGGACAGUUUGCUUGAGUUUUUUUGUUUGUUUGUUUUCAUUUUUUUAAAAUUAAUGGCUGCCUUAAGGCAUAUGGCAGUUCCCAGGCUAGGGGUUGAAUUGGAGCUCAGUAGCUGCCUGCCUACACCACAGUCACAGCAACGAAGAAUCCGAGCCGUGUCUUCGACUUACACCACAGCUCACAGCAAUCCUGGAUCCUUAACCCACUGAGCAGGGCCAGGGAUCAAACCUACAACCUCAUGGUUCCUAGUCUCAUUCAUUUCUGCUGCACCAUGACGAGAACUCCUCAACAGGUUUUAUUAAUUACCUACUGUAUGCCUGGCACUGUGCCAGACCUUGAGAUAAAUGAGUGGGAAGAAAGAGCUGGCAAAGUUCUCUGCUCUCAUGGAAUUUUUUUUCCCACUCUCAUUUAGGAUUAUUGUGAAAUUUAAAUAAAUUAGUACCUAUAAAAGGGCACAGGGCUCUUGUUAAAAUUAGAAAAUAACUAUUAUGGAGAAGUUGUGAGCUGUCCUUUCUACACUGAGUUGUCAUUAUUUAAUGACAGAAUUCUUGGAGCAAAUGAUGUAAUUAUUUUAUAGAUGGUAUUUAAGAAAAAAAUGGAUAUUCCUUUAACAUCUUUUCUUUUCUUUCCUGAAUGAGAUGAAACCUAAUUUCUCUGCCCAUUGUGUUAUGACUUUUUCAUCAAUAUUUUGAUGUAACAAAAUAUAUCUUUUUUUUUGCUUUUUAGGGCUGCACCCACGGCAUAUGGAGGUUCCCAGGCUAGGGGUCUAAUUGGAGCUACAGCUGCCAGCCUACGCCACAGUCACAGAAAUGCCAGAUCUGAGCCAUGUCUGCGACUUAACACCACAGCUCACACCGGAUCCUUAACCCACUGAGUGAGGCCAGGGAUCAGUCCCGCAACCUCAUGGUUCCUAGAUGGAUUUGUUUCUGCUGCGCCACGACAGGAACUCCGCAAAGUAUAUCUUUUUUAAAAAUAAUUUGGAAAGUACAUUUGGUUUGUGUGUGCGCACGUGUGCUUGUGUGUAUCGUUCCCAGAAAAACUUGAGUACACUUGAAUAACAUAGUUUGGAGUUGUGUUUAUGAGAAAAAACAAGCCAAAUAUACUUCCUUCUUGUCCUGAAACUACUGAUUAUGAGAAAGAUAGUAGUAGAAGAAGAACCUGUUGUUGAAUAUUAUGCCAAGUCAAAUCAUGGAAACUGUCCCGGUUGGAGAAAUAACCUUUUCCAAAGAACUUAGCGGAUUUGCUUAGGUGGCCCCCAAGGGCUUAGCUCAGACCAAGCAAUUUGAUGUGAGCUUCUUUCUUCUCAACACAAUGGAACAUUCAUGAUGUUUAUCAGGCAGAAACUUCAUUAAGGGAAGCCUGACAGGAAGGUCAGGGGGGAGAGGAAUGGAGACUGUCUUUUUUGGAAGCUUGUUUUUCGCAACAUGUGAAGUGACUUGAGUGGAUGAAGUUCUGUGUUAUCAGUUCAGCUCCCCACUGUAAUGAAAAUGAGGAUACCUGUUCUCACAAGUACCUUUUGAGACAUGAUCUAGGUACUUAUCCAGGUACUAGACCUUCCUUAUCUCAUUACUGUCUCCAGAAGGGCUUCCAGCAUACCCAGCCUAGCACAUACACAAAGGCAUUUCUGUUGUUAAAGCUAGCCAUGCAGGAUGUCCACAUUAUUUUUCAAUGGAUUUUUUUUUUUACAUAUUUUUCUUCAUUUACAUAAGGAGUCAUCAGGAUCCUAGUAAUUUAUUCAGUGCUGACAGUGUACAGUACAUUUACUCAUGCUUAGUGUUGCUUGAAGAACUUGGGUUAACAUAACAACAGUAACUACCACUCAGGAAGGGGUGGGCUGGGUCACUGAAAGAAUUCAGAGAGGGAAGGGGAAAGAGAUGCUGGGCAAGUAGCACCAAGCUCAAGGUGACUUUCAUUUCUAUAGGUUUAAUGUUAUUUCAAAGCCAAAAAAGAAUCCAAUUCAUCUCUUUAGCCUCUCAGCAUUUACAAGCCUGCCGUGUAACACAUAGACUAUGCUCUGAGCUGCUAGUACCAUGAAAACAACAGAUGGGUCCAACCAAGAACUUACAGCUUAGGGACAAGGUAUAGAAAGUCAGUAAGUCAUGGGUUGGUUAUUAAUAGAUAAGGAGAAAAUGCACCUAACCAGAGCUUUGAAACUCAUUUCUCAGAGUUUUUUCUCUUGUAGCCCCAUAGGAGGAAGGAUGGGGAAAUUAUAGGCACACUAAGGUGGGGAAAUUUUAGGGAGAUGUGGGAGAAUUGAAAUGGGUGAAGGGUACCAAGAUCCCACUUUCCUGUACAGUUUUGCUCAAGAGCAAUCUUUUGUUUGUUGGUAUGGACAAUGGGAUCCACAAUUCCAGCUUGCAACCCAGGAGAUUUUCUCUGCUGUGGUUUUCUCCUCUGUGAUUACAGUGUAAAAUAUUGUAGUUAAAUCAUGAUUAGGCUCUUUUUCACUUUUUUGGAGACUCUCCAUAGGACAGACCUCCUUUUUUUAUUUUUUUGUUUGGCAACCGCAGGGACCAGUGACCUUCCAGCCUUCUUAGAAUUGUUUGUACUUAAGGGUAGGUUAGAAACCACUCUAAAGACAGUGUCUGCCCACCCAUCCCCCAGCCCUCUUCUCCAAAGAUGUCAAAACCCUGGUGAGGAAUCUGUGAAAUGUGAACUAUGACUUGGUUAUAUGAGGUUCAGUGAGAUAGCUGGAGGUUUUCCCAGCAGAAGGCUAAAGCGGAAUUGUCUAGACAUCUCUUUCUCCUUAUCUGGGAGAAAGCCUUUCUGGGAGCUUUUCCACAUGGGGAAUCUCGGCAGAAACGAAAGUGAACUUGACUGUGUGAAAGCCCUUCUAACUUUAGAUCACUCCUGAAACUUAGCAGGCUGUGUUUGUUGAUUUGAAUAGAAUAGGAAGAUAUUUCCCCUUGUUAUUGUUGGUAUGAGAAAGACUUGAUUCAUUGUUCAUUAAGAGUUGGAGUUCCCAUCAUGGCUCAGCACUAACUAACCCAACUAGUAUCCAUGAGGACAUGGGUUCGAUCCCUGCUUCCCUCAGUGGGUUAAAGAUGCAGUGUUAAAGAUCCAACUGUGAGCUGUGGUGUAGGUUGAAGACAUGGCUCUGAUCCUGUAUUGCUGUGGACGUGGUGUAGGCCAGCAGCUGCAGCUCUGAUCAGUUUGACCCUGGCCUGGGAAUCUCUAUAGGCUAUGGGUGUGGCCCUAAAAAGCCAAAAGAAAAAAAAAAAGAAAAAAAAA